AACACCCAAGUUCAUUAACACCUACAGGUGGCGAACCUGCUAAUGUUUCCACAAGACUGUCUAGAAUAGCCAGUGGUCGUCAUCUAAACUCCGCUAGAUGACUCAAUCAAACAACAACGAGGCCUCUCAUCUGUUUAUUACACACCAACUGUCUACCCAUGUUCUACCCAACAUAUUAGUAGAUAAAAAUAUACAUUUGUAUACAUAGUUUAAAGAAAACCUGUAUAGCAUGCUUUAAUCAACACAUAUAUCACAUAACAGAUGAGGCACACACACACAUAACACAUAUCUCAUAAAGAAAUAAGCAGAUCUAUAAGAUAGAAGAGAGUGAAUACUCAUUCACACAUAACACAACCAAAUAUAUACACAUAGCACGUAUUUUUAUAUAAAAUACUUCGUAUUAUUGUAUUAGAAGAAAUAACUACACACUCACUUGAUCAGAAGAUGAUCGGACAGCACUACGGCUUAUAGAAGUAGUAAUCCACAGCAGAUCUGGAAGAUCUUCUCGAAAAUCGAACUUCUCGCGGGCAGAGCUUCGACUCGGGAACCGCACUUUUCGGGAUCUUCGGGAUCUCGGGACUUGCCUCGGGGCUAGAGUAUGAUACCGGGACUUCGGGGUAGCUUCGGGGGUUUUUGCACAGAGCUUCGACACGAAAACGAGAGGGAAUUGGCAAAAAUACCCGGAACCCUCGCAUCCUAUUUAUAGGAGGCUGGAGCCUCGGAGUACGCGGGGCGUACUGCGUUACGCGGGGCGUACUGCCCAAAACGUCAUUGCUUACGUAUCCGAAGUGCUCGAGUGCGAGUGUCGACAUCCCUCGGAGUACGCGGGGCGUACUCGAGUACGCGGGGCGUACCUCGGAUCAGAUCGGUGACUCCUUCGGAUAAUGCUUCCGAAUUUUGAUUUAAAUAUAAAUACAAAAUGAUUAAUAAACUUCGGAAAUUCAUAACUUCUUCAUACGAACUCCGUUUUCGACGUUCUUUAUAUCCACGCGAAGGUGAGACCACGCUCUACGACUUUCGUUUAGACUCCGUCGGCUAAUUUUGACUUUAUUUUUAUUAAUUAUUUUUAAUAGGCCGCGACAGAAACUUUCGUUAUAAAUUCAUAACUUCUUCGUUUGACGUCCGUUCUCGCCUAACUUUUUAUCGCUUCGAUACCAACAAUGAGAUCUUCGAUUCUCAUUUAGAUUGCUUCGGCUAACAACCGCUCGAUCUCAAAUCGAGUAAAACAGGCUGUAUAUCGCUAAGCCGGAACUUCGAUAAAUCAUAACUUCCUCAUACGAAGUCAGAUUUGGGCGUUCUAUAUAUAUUCGGAAACCUCGUUUCAACUACUACAACAUUAACCAAAUAUAUUAAGUUUAUUUUACACUUAAAUUUUGACGCUUAUUUUUAUUCUUAAUUAAUCAAACCACAUAAUUAAGCAAUUAAGCACAAAACACACAAUACUCAAAUAAUACAAUCUUAUUAUUUCAAAACGGGUUACAGAGGUUAACCUAGACUAUUACAUUGCUACAAAUGGCAAGCCCGAAACACAGGCGUUACAAUUCUCUCCACCUUAGAAUGAUUCCGUCCCCGGAAUCACACAUCAACAAACAAAUGCGGAUAGCGACUCAACAUGUCACUCUCCGUCUCCCAGGUGAGAUUCGGCCCAUUCGUGUGUUUCCAUCGGACAAGCACUAACCCAACCAUUUUGCGUCGCAACUUCUUAGUCUUUCGGUCAACAAUUGCCUCUGGUUCUUCAAUCAACCUUUUGUUCUCAUCAAUUCUCAAUUCAGAAAUUGGAAUUAUAUCGGGAACUUCUCCCGUGAACUUCCUCAAAUAACACACAUGAAAGGUGUUGUGAAUUCCAUUCAGUUCUUCGGGUAAUUCGAGCUUGUAAGCUUGAUUCCCAAUCCUCUGAAGGACUCUAAACGGUCCAAUAAACCUUGGACUCAACUUUCCCCUUUUACCAAAUCUUAUAAGUCCCUUCCACGGCGAGACUUUAAGCAAAACCGAAUCUCCAACCUCAAAAGUCAUCGGUCUUCGCUUCUUGUCAGCAUAGCUCUUUUGACGAUCUUGAGCUGCUAACAUUCUUUCCCUAAUUAUUUUCAACUUUUCAGCAGUUUGAUGAACCAACUCCGGUCCCAUAAACUGCUUUUCCCCAGCCUCAAGCCAACAAGACGGCGUACGACACUUCUGUCCAUACAAAGCUUGAUAAGGUGCCAUCUUAAUGCUCGAGUGAAAACUAUUAUUAUAGGAAAAUUCUACCAACGGUAAAUGUUCAUCCCAAUUACCUAGGAAUUCCAAGGUACAUGCUCUCAGCAUAUCUUCAAGUGUUUGUAUUGUUCUUUCACUCUGACCAUCAGUCUGCGGAUGGUAAGCUGUGCUUAAACAUAACUUGGUACCCAUUUCCUCUUGUAGACUUUUCCAAAACCUUGAGGUGAAACGGCUAUCACGAUCCGAUACAAUCGUUAACGGAACACCGUGAAGCCUCACAAUUUCCUUCACGUAAGAAUUCGCAAGCUUUUCCAUAGACCAUUUCUCCCUGGCCGCUAUGAAAUGCGCACUCUUAGUGAAUCGAUCAACGACCACCCAAAUCAUGUCGUGACCAUUCUUUGUUCUGGGCAGUUUAGUGACAAAAUCCAUAGCAAUGUCUUCCCACUUACCCAUAGGCACAGGCAAAGGUUCUAAACUCCCGUACGGUUUCUGAUGUUGUGUCUUGACUCUCGCACAAGUCACACACUCGGCCACAUACUUUGCAACAUCAAGCUUCAUCGUCGGCCACCAGUAGUAGGGUUUCAGGUCCCUAUACAUUUUAGUGCUACCCGGAUGAAUCGAGUACAUGGUCUUGUGAGCUUCUUCCAUCAGAAGAUCUCUAAUUCCUCCUGACUUAGGUACCCAAAUACGAUCUUGGAAUACCUUCAGUCCAUGACCGUUAGUACCAAACACCAACGUUUUACCCAAACGUUCCUCCUUUCGGUCAUUUUUCUCAGAAGCUUCCUCUUGAGCUUUCUUUAUACUUUCCACAAUGGUCGAGACAACUUCAAUUCUCAACGCUCUUGGCCUCUUCCUUUCAAGAUUGACCUUCCGACUGAGAGCAUCAGCAACAACAUUAGCUUUACCGGGGUGGUAAAGUAUCUCGCAGUCGUAGUCUUUAAGUAAUUCUAGCCAGCGUCGUUGCCUCAUAUUCAAUUCUUUCUGAUUAAAGAGGUAUUGGAGACUCUUAUGAUCAGUGAAAAGUUUGCACUUCGUGCCAUAGAGGUAAUGCCUCCAUAUUUUCAGAGCGAAAACUACCGCUGCCAACUCCAAAUCAUGAGUCGGGUAAUUCUUUUCAUGCUCUUUCAGCUGUCGAGACGCAUAUGCUAUCACCUUUUCUCUUUGGGUCAAAACACAACCCAAUCCAACACCAGACGCAUCGCUAUAAACAGCGAAGUCUUCAACUCCAUCGGGUAGAGAAAGUAUCGGUGCCUCGCAUAGCUUCUUCUUUAACUUCUCGAAUGCUUCUUUAUGCUUCUCACUCCAAGCAUAAGUAGCUCCUUUGUGGGUCAAAGCUGUUAAUGGAGUAGCAAUCGAAGAAAAGCCUUGGAUAAACCUUCGGUAAUAUCCGGCUAAUCCUAAAAAGCUUCGAAUCUCCGUGGGACUUUUCGGUUGUUCCCACUUCGUCACAGCUUCGAUCUUCGCUGGAUCAACCAUUAUCCCUUCUUGGUUGACCACGUGACCCAAGAAUUGGACUUCACGAAUCCAAAAAUCACAUUUGGAGAACUUCGCAUAAAGCUUCUCCUUCUUCAAAACUUCUAACACUUCUCGCAAGUGUCUGCCAUGCUCCUCCUGGCUUUUCGAGUAGAUCAGAAUGUCGUCUAUGAACACUAUCACGGAUUUAUCAAGGAAAGGAUUACAAACCCUAUUCAUCAAAUCCAUGAACGCUGCUGGAGCAUUGGUUAGUCCAAACGACAUAACCAAGAACUCGUAGUGUCCAUAUCUAGUUCUGAAUGCAGUCUUCUCGAUAUCUUGCUCUCUUACUUUCAGCUGAUGAUAUCCUGACCUAAGAUCGAUCUUCGAGAAAUAGCUCGAACCUUGCAAUUGAUCAAACAGGUCAUCAAUCCUCGGCAACGGAUAUCUAUUCUUUAUUGUUGCCUUGUUCAGCUCUCUGUAAUCGAUGCACAUUCUCAUACUUCCAUCUUUCUUCUUUACAAAUAACACCGGAGCUCCCCAGGGCGAUGAACUAGGUCUAAUGAAACCUUUGUCCAAUAACUCCUGAAGUUGCAUCAUUAGCUCCUUCAUCUCCGUCGGUGCUAAUCGAUAAGGUGCUUUUGCUAUUGGCGUGGUUCCUGGUAACAAGUCUAUUCUGAACUCCACUUGUCUAUCAGGUGGUAAUCCAGGAAGAUCCUCGGGAAAUACUUCCGGAUAAUCACACACCACUGGAAUGCUCUGCAUCACCUUCUUUUCUUUCUUAGCAUCAAUCACGAAUGCUAAAUAUGAUGUACAUCCCUUGGUCAAACACUUUCUGGCUUUCAUUAGAGAAAUGAUUCCAGAAUUCACUCUGCGUUUGUCCCCAUACACCAUAAACGAAUCUUUUCCAGGCGGGUUUACUUUAACUAUCUUCUUCUUGCACAAAAUUUCGGCAUCAUUGGCGCUAAGCCAAUCCAUUCCCAAGACGAUGUCGAAACCAUUUAGUUCGAUAGGCAAUAAUUCCUCGAGAAACUUAUUCCCAUUAAGGUCGAUCAAGACGUUUUUCAUACGAUGGCUAACAGGUACAAACUUGCCACUAGCUACUUCGACUAAUAAAGCAUUAUUUAGUCUAUCAACAGGCAAAGCUAGCUUUCUACCAAACUCAUGCGAAAUAAAGGAGUAGUUGGCUCCAGAAUCAAACAAUAUAUGAGCAGGUAAUUCGUUUACGAGAAAGGUACCUGAAGCGACAUCAGCUUCAUCUUUCGCAGCCUCAAGUGUCAUCUGGAAGGCUCUCGCCUUCGGCUUUGGUGGAAUGUUGGGCCUAGCUGCCUCCUUCUUCUUCGGACAGUCUUUCAAAAUAUGCCCCUCUUCAUUACAACCAAAACACAUCCUUUUGUUGUUCGGACAUUCAUUGGCAAAAUGUCCAACCUUUCCACACUUGUAGCAGGUCACAUCCUCGCUACAUUUCCCAAAGUGCUUUUUCUUACACUUAUCACACCACUUUGCUUCGCCUCCUUUUCCUCCAAACUUUUUCGAAUCAGAUUUCGAAAAUUUGCUCUUCUUACUGGAACCAGAUGUUCCUUCAAACUUCCUUUUCUCACCAACCUCAACCUUGACGGUGGUUCUCCCCUUGAUCAUGUUCUCCACAGACUUGGCAGCCCAGAUAGCUGCCUCUAGAGUAAGUGCCUGACGUACCGGCACCUCGUACUCCCAUGGAAGUCCCUUCGCAUACCGAUCCACCUUUGUCAGCUCGUCUGGAACGAUACGCAAGGCAAACUCCAUCUUAUCGGUGAAGUUAUUGGUGUAUUCAUCAACUGACAUGCUACCCUUCGUCAAUGUCAAAAACUUAUUCUCCAACUCCAACAGAUUUUGAGCCGAGCAGAACUUGCGCUUGAACUGCACCAAGAACUCUGCCCAUGACAAUUGCAGUGGCUCAUUAGGGCUUAAGGUCUUCCCUAGAGUGUUCCACCAACGAACGGCUCCACCUCGGAAUUGUCGCACGGCAUAGAUAGUCUGCAACUUGCCUCUACAGCCACAUGUCAUAAAGGCUAACUCCAUUUCGGAGAUCCAAUCCAUAACCCCAAUCGGAUCCUCCUUUCCAUUGAAGGUCGAUGGUUUACAAGUCAAAAAGUCCUUGUACUUGCAUCCCAUUCCAUCAUUCCUUCCAUCAUGGUUAUCUUGCCUAACUAUCGGUGGGUUGGCUGGACCAACAGACCCACUGAAGUUUCCACCUUCCGAGUGCCCUUCAUUCAGUUCAGGCUCUUCCACACGAAUCGACAGUUCUUCACGAUUUUGUUGAAGCAACCGUCUAGUUUCAUCCAUCUGACGAUCCAACAUCGUCUGAAUCAUCAAUUGCACACCAGCCAUGGUUAUUGGCUCAGGUGCUGCUGCUACGACAGGUAUUGGCUCAAUCACUGGUGGUUGAUUCCUGUUUUCGUCAGCAUUUCCAACUCCACUUCUUGUUCUCACCAUUUUGAUCUACACCGAAUAAGGUGAAAUUAGAUCCUCAAUCAUGAUAGAUAUUCAAAUCAUCCUUAUCACUCCGAAACGUUUACAUGCUAGUUCUAAUAUCGUAGACGUACGCUUAGAAUCCUACACACAUAAGGUUUCUAGAUCCGGUCGGCAACAGACCAUAGAUCCGAACAAAUAAUAUCAUAUAUGGCAACAUAUAACAUUUAGCACAUAAAGCAUUUUAGGCAACUUUCCUAAAAUAAACUAGUGCUCGUGUCUAAAUCACAACAGACACACAUCUCAAAACUUCACUUAGCAUUCUAAGUUUAAGUCUAGAAAUCCUACAAAUUCCUAGUUCGCUUAAACUAAUGCUCUGAUACCAACUGUGACAUCCCCAAAAUCUCGGCCAGAAAAGACCGAUUUUCAUUUAUGCUUUUAAAUAUUUUCAGAGUAAAUCCUUUUGAUUUGAAAGAGUUGCGGAAUUUGUUCCCAAAAACAAAACAUGAUAAAACAUUGUUUACCGAAGCAUUUCAUAAAAGAAAUGUAUUUUCAUUAUAAUCAAAACUCGGGGUGUCAUGUUCCGAUACAGACCAAUAAGCAUAAACGAAUACAUUACAAGUCAUAUAACAAAUAUAAACAUAUGCAGACUUGUAAACAAAACAACUUGAUGGUUCAUCCAUCUCAUGCCCUUCCGCCACUACCUGUAAUACAAUUUAAAACUGAGUGGGUCAGGCUUGGGAGCCUGGUGAGCAUAUAGGGUUUUCAACCCACAAUAAAUAUCAUAUUUAAUUUUCACCAACCAACAAUAACCCAAUUACCCAUUCCCGUUAUUCUCACUUUAAUGUCCCUAAAACAACUAACAUAAGGGACCUAGUCUAAGAAUAUUUCAUCGGGGCGACAACACAUGCUUCGGGGGUACCUCAGCAAUAUAAGUCAAAUAAGGCAACCAUGAGGGGGAUGGAGUACAGCGAAUGAACACCCAAGUUCAUUAACACCUACAGGUGGCGAACCUGCUAAUGUUUCCACAAGACUGUCUAGAAUAGCCAGUGGUCGUCAUCUAAACUCCGCUAGAUGACUCAAUCAAACAACAACGAGGCCUCUCAUCUGUUUAUUACACACCAACUGUCUACCCAUGUUCUACCCAACAUAUUAGUAGAUAAAAAUAUACAUUUGUAUACAUAGUUUAAAAACCUGUAUAGCAUGCUUUAAUCAACACAUAUAUCACAUAACAGAUGAGGCACACUCACACAUAACACAUAUCUCAUAGAGAAAUAAUCAGAUCUAUAAGAUAGAAGAGAGUGAAUACACAUUCACACAUAACACAACCAAAUAUAUACACUUAGCACGUAUUUUAUAUAAAAUACUUC
rnacentral:lncRNA from 1 species